rnacentral:rRNA from 1 species
UACGUAGGGCGCAAGCGUUAUCCGGAAUUAUUGGGCGUAGAGAGCUCGUAGGCGGUUUGUCGCGUCUGCCGUGAAAGUCCGGGGCUCAACUCCGGAUCUGCGGUGGGUACGGGCAGACUAGAGUGAUGUAGGGGAGACUGGAAUUCCUGGUGUAGCGGUGAAAUGCGCAGAUAUCAGGAGGAACACCGAUGCGAAGGCAGGUCUCUGGGCAUUAACUGACGCUGAGGAGCGAAAGCAUGGGGAGCGAACAGG